rnacentral:rRNA from 1 species
GACGAACGCUGGCGGCGUGCUUAACACAUGCAAGUCGAACGGAAAGGCCCUGCUUUUGUGGGGUGCUCGAGUGGCGAACGGGUGAGUAACACGUGAGUAACCUGCCCUUGACUUUGGGAUAACUUCAGGAAACUGGGGCUAAUACCGGAUAGGAGCUCCUGCUGCAUGGUGGGGGUUGGAAAGUUUCGGCGGUUGGGGAUGGACUCGCGGCUUAUCAGCUUGUUGGUGGGGUAGUGGCUUACCAAGGCUUUGACGGGUAGCCGGCCUGAGAGGGUGACCGGCCACAUGGGGACUGAGAUACGGCCCAGACUCCUACGGGAGGCAGAAGUGGGGAAUAUUGCACAAUGGGCGGAAGCCUGAUGCAGAAACGCCGCGUGCGGGAUGACGGCCUUCGGGUUGUAAACCGCUUUCGCCUGUGACGAAGCGUGAGUGACGGUAAUGGGUAAAGAAGCACCGGCUAACUACGUG